rnacentral:lncRNA from 1 species
CCUGUCAGGCAGGGUACAAUAAACACUCUGGAAAUAUGGAAUUCUACUAAAUAGUCAAGUAAUGAGAGCGGAGCGAGGGGAGUCAGAUUGACUACUUGUCAAGUUCAUUAUGAUUUGUAUGGGUUUCAUUCCGAUAGUACUAAGUUGGUAGUAGGCUAACAAUCACACAUAGGCAUUGUGAAGGGACAGCUAUAGGCAUUGCAGGGACAACUCCAAGAGUGAAAUAGCCAGCUAGGAGUUUCAGCCUACAACUAAAGGAAAUAAAUAAGUCAGUAGAAACCCGGAACUAACAAGACUCUAGGACAGGGGUUAUAGUUGGAAUCAAUAGAUAGGUUCUUGAGAUAGGCAGAGGCAUACUUCAACUUAGAGAGCGGGAAUGCCAGGAACAGGUCUUCAGGGCCUAAGAGUUUUGACGAGGAAUAAGAAUCUAGUAGUUCCAUAAAGAAUGGAAGGUAAGAUAGGCAGGCUCAUAUCCAAAGUUAGGUGUGCAGGGUUGGUUCGGAGGUGAGGUAGAUUUUGUAAAUGACAAAUAAUUCUGGUACAAGCACAUAGGAAUUGGUUUAAGGGAAUUCUAGUUUGAUAGCUAGGUUAGAUAUACUACUUCUCUGGUAGGCGGAUAUUUAGGUUUCAAGCAAGGGAGUAAUAAUAGGAGUGUAAGGGAGACAGCUUAGUGCCCCGGAGAGCUAGUCCUAUUUCUUUGUUUGAUUCUUUCUAUCAGCAGUUUCCCGUCUUAGAAGCACUGGUUGUUGUCCGAUCUCUCGCUCCCCGGCCCCAUUCUGAUGAUUAGCGCUAUUAUUCUCUUAUUUUGGGCAAUCCGCUAUUAUUCUAUGACUAGAUGCACUUACUUAUAGGCUUACUUUACGGGCAACCAUACAACUCUUCGAAUACACCUACGACUAACAAGGCGGUAGCUCUCAAACUGUAAUUGAGCCCAAACACCACUGCUAAUAAUAAAAAACACCGAAGACAGGCAAGCAUGCAAGGGACAGGACUAAUCUAUUUCUUUUGAAAGUCAGAAUCUCUCUUUUUUGCGCUAAGUGAGAAUAUCCACUCCAAAGUAGAAACCCUAAGCUAAGGCACUAAACUAAAGCAGAGGACCUAAACAAAGAAGUCGUCUGUCAUUCCUUGACUACAGUAUUUAUUGAAACUAGUAGCCUGUAGCUCAUAACUCCCGAACUUACCUCUUGGGGCACUAAUAUCAAAUAAACCCCCAUUCCUCCUGUCUUAAGGAAGAAAACUCAUAACUACCAAACUACCGCUCCCGUCUUUCGCUCUGUAGUAGUAGCUUCGACCUUUACCCUUGCACUAGUCCACUCCUUCUUAAAGUCUGCUUUUCCUUUUGAUUAAUCUGGCACUCUUUAUAGGCAUUCUUGACUUGUCACUAUCAGGACUAGAUUCCUUUCUUUUAGCCUUACCUAAUGGCCAACUAAUCUUACCUGCCCGGUUCUAACUCUUCCCCCACAACUUACCAAACGAAAACUACUAACUGGCUCUUUCGCUCUUGGGACUUGAGUUGGUCUCUUCCACCUACAAAUAUCAGAAUCAAGGCCCCGCAACUACUAACAAUAGAUUUCAGUAAAUAACCGACUCUUCUCUUAUUCUAUCUUAUGCUUCUAAUCUUGUUUAUUCUACAACUCCGACUUAUUAGCUUGAUCGCCAAAAUACGGACUUGCUCUUAACUCAACAAAUACUUACGGAAAUGAAUCUAGCUCUAGCUGAAGCAAAAAAGAGAACAUUGAAUCAGGUAACUCACUGACGCUAGAACACACACAGGACUUUUGAGAACUCUACGGAAUUAGGACUUGCUCAUUGUCUAGUAGUUACUUGGCGUCUGCUUGUCGGCUUGUCUACUUGUCGGACUUGAAACUGUAUACUUUGACCUCGAGACAAUGGAUGGAAAUGAAUUCUUUGUUGACUUUACAAGGCGAUCGAAAGGUUCAGCUAACGUUGGGGCAAUUCCUAUGUUCUCCUAUGUUCUAUUUAAAAGAUAGAGAUUCGGCUGUUCUAGUUUCAUCUUAUAAAGAAGCAGGGUGAAUUAGGUCUACUUGUUCUGUUGUUGGCUCUAAGUCGGCAUCGACAAGAUCUGAAGCGGAUCAAUGAAAUUCCAGUCGAGAAUCUCUUGGGCUUGGGGUAGCUUUAGAAGCAAGUAAACAAGAAGCAGAACCAGUUGAAAGCUUUUAAUGGAAAGGGAAGAAACGGAAGAAUGUGAGUUCCCCGAUAGGUAUGAGAUUGUUACCCGCUCUGUUUAAUAGAUAUAAGUAAACACCCCUGUGCUCCAUCUCUCUAGAGAGAAGUAAAAACCCCUGUGCUCCAUCUCUCAUAAGUUAGAAUUGAACUAAUAACUAUAAGAAUGGAAACCAUCAAUGAAAACUUGACUCGUUAAUAGCUCGUGUUGAAGCAAGUGAUGAAGUGUAGUUUGGGACAGAAAGUGUAGUUUGAGAUGCAGGAUCUUUCUCUUUAUCAUCAGCUGGAGCAGGAUAGUCUCUUUGUGCUGGCGAUGGGUCUAUUUCAGUUCCUCACUCAACAGAUCUAGCUCCUGCGGAUUAUGCUUCUCUUGCGCACUGCUUUAUAUAUUGAUUUGGAUUCGGCAACUGCUCCUACUCCUGCUUUGCUUCAUCUACUGAUCUGGUUUACUUAACAAGAACGGAAAGCCAAUGGAACCGAUACACGGCCCUAAACGGAUACCUGAACUCCGACUCUUAACUGUCCUAAGAAUUAAUUGAAUCUCCUUCUUCUCUUGUGCCGAGUCAAACUGUAAUGGAAUCUUUUGAUUCGGUUUAUGGAACUCCACCAGCUACAGGGGGACAACACCUUAUACAACUUUGAGCUAAAGCCUACUUAUACUUAACCGUUACGUCGACUUCUUCCGAUCCGGCAUCAGAUCUUUAUUCAUCUCUAGCAUCUUAUCUCUAGUGAACGAGUCCUGUGUGCGCUGGUCAUAUGGGUUGCAUUCUUAUACUGAAUAGUGGAAUUCUUACCUGCUGGCUUGGUUUGGCUUUGUAAGCUAUGAAAGUCUAGUUAUUGCCCCAACUAGUAUACGAGUAGUUUCAUCAGUAGUAUACGCUCGGUCAUAACCUGUUCUUGAGUACCCGGACUUUAUUCUGACUCCAGUAUUGAGUUAUAUUAAAUACUGAUACCUGAGUAAGGAGUGAGUUUCAUUCAGAUUAGUAGAAGUAGAGAGGUCGGGUACCAAUACUAGAGUUGAGGUCUAAGUUAAGUCCCAUCCCAUACUAUUUCCCCAUUUGCAACCAAAAAUCCCGGGGCCAAACAACUACUAAUGUUGUGCGGCAGCAAGUAAUAGUCAUAACAGAGUUAUUACAAGUCCUGUGUUCGCGUCAAAUUGUGAUUUCCAUAAGGUCACUCAGGAGGGAAAUUGUCAGUGCUACCAAAAAACACGGGUUUCGUCAAAAAAGGAAGAUACAUCGAACCCUUUAGGAGGGAGAAUGCCCAUGCUAUCCAAAAUCCCCGGGUUUCGUCCAAAAUGAAUGACUUGGGGACCUAGCUAGCAGGGGAAAUCUUGUUGCAGCCUUUUUUCCCGGGUUUCUUAAAAAGUAGCAUUCCUUUUUGGUUCGAUAGGAGGGCAAAUCACUUCACUGCCUUUUUUGCCGGGUUUUGGUGAAGUGGAAUUACUUGUUUACUGACUUGGCGGGUAGGUUUGGAAUGAAGUGACUAGGCUCGGCAGGUUGACUGACUUGCUUGUUUGUUGCAGGUUUACUGACUUGCUUGUUAGGGUGGUAAACUGACUUGCUUGUUAGGCUGUUGACUGACUUUGUGAGGCAGGGAGAGUUUCAUCUGUAUUAGUUGGGUCUUGCAAGGGAAGUGUACUAUUACCCAUAGGUAUGAGAAGCAGAACUCACAGAAGCUUACUUGCGGAAUUAAUAUAUAAUAAUAUCCGUAACUAAGGUAAGAAAGAGAAUGCCCAGUGCCCCAAUCCAAUGUUCCUUUGCAUUUAUUAAUCCUUCUAGCUGCCUUAAGCCUUUGCAUUUAUUAAUCCUUCUAGCUGCCUUAAGCAAUGCUUUAGAGUAAUUGAUUCUCCCGAUAGUCCACAAGCUAAGAUAUUAAUGACGAGGAAGGCUUGCUAUGCUACUACAAAGCAAAGAAUAGGCACCGAAAUGAAUGGACACCUUAUCUUAUCUCUGGAUAGUUUGCAGUGGCCUCUACAGUGGAAAUAGAAUAGUCAAAGCGAAGUCCGUUUUCAUUUCACUCUUCUUCAUGCUAUCGAUCCCGAAUCUUUCGAUUCCUAAAACAAGCAAGUAAGCAGAUACUCAAUAGUGGAAAGUGCAUCCCUUGAAGUUAAGAAAGAAAAGGCGAAUGAAUCCGCGCUUCCCGAUACGGCAUGCUGCUAGCUGGUUGAAACUAAACUAAUAUAUCCCCCUCCCCGCCGCAAGCUAAGAUAUUGAAACAGUCGAUUCAGGGGUAGAGAGAAGUAUCAAGGGGUGUAAUCCUUGGUUGGUAUUUGAUCACUAGUAAGUUCUACUAUAUAGGGAAAAGAGUAACUAGUAGGUUAUACAAUAGAGGAGAAAUAGAUUGCUUUGCUUCGGCUUGGAACCUCCACGUGCUACCUACAACCUAUUGGUCUCAAAUACGGGUUUUUUUCGCUUUAGUUGAUUGGACAACCGGCCUUAAGGGCGCAGAUCUAUCCUUCUCUCAUUGGGAAGGAGAAGGGACUAUUGCAAUCCUCGACAGGCUUUCCUCAACAAACAGGCUAAUAAGCUUUCUUUCCCUCAUUUGGCAGUUGCUUUAAUUCCUUUAUUUGGAUGACCAGUCGCUUUCUUUCCCUAACCAUUGAAUAUCGGCAUCCCGAACCGAACUCUCUACCACUACUGAGAAGAAUAAGGGAUCUACUAACUGAGAAGAAUAAGGGAUCUACUAACUGGGCCAAUCUGAAUGAAGUUAUAGGAGCAGAGGUAGAUUAGCCUCAUUCAGGUAUCAGAGUUAGAGGAGAAGAAUGCAGUUCAUAGUAGGAAAGUAGUAGUUACAGAAUCCAACUAAGUGGGUCAAAACCCAGCUACUAGAGCAACAAAUACAGAAUGAACCAAGGAAGUGAAAGAAUGGAACCCAACCAUAGGAAGUGAGAAUUGGACUCGUUAAGUAGAAGCCUUAAAGCAGUGACAGGUGCUCCUUCUCUCAACCAGCGAGUGAAAGUCCAAGAAUGCAAGCAGUAAGUCCAAGAAUGAAAGAAAGGGUAACAGGGCAUUGAACUCAUCAGACAUAGAAUUCCACCGAUACUACUCAGAAUUGACCUAGGUAGUCAAAGAAUGCAGCUCACACCAACCAGGCUGAACCGAGGCAGUGAUAGAACGAAGCAAAGCCGACUAAGAAUUCAACUCAUCGGUGAGCUAGGUGAGCUAGGGUAGUAAGUGAGAAUGAAACCAGUCAGUGGAAGUGUUUCCUCUGCCUUUGUCCUGUGUUCGGGUACUACUACUGCUACUGAGUGGUUGUUUGCCUACUGAUUUACUAACAUCGGUGCAUUUACAGCUAUUGGAAAGAGUGGAACUAGUGCUUUACAGGCUCUCUAAACACCCGACCUAUCUACUUCGAUAAAAGAAAAGAAUGGAAUUGAAGACUACCUGCUACACACCGAGCUUACCCGAUACACCGAGCUUACCCGCUACACCGAGCUUACCCGAUACACCUUAUAGUAUAGGGAACUUUGUUGACUUCUAUAUCGGGAAUUACUGAGAUGUUCAGUUUCCGUAGGUGAUUGUGUCGGUUCUUCAAGUCGAGUAGAGGUUGGCAAAAGGUAAGUAUUGCAAGGAAAGUUUACGACUUAAUAGUGAAAGAGAAAGAUCCUACUGGAACUCUCUGUACUGAAGCUGAAGUCUCGUAUCUGAGUGUAGAAGGCAAGGCCAGGCAAUUCAAUGAAGUGAGAAUGUAAUCUACAAUAGAAUCAUAGGCUAAAGCAUCAGCUAGAGAAUAAUAAUAGGAUUUGAAAGGAUCUGUUGCUUCUUCACUUGUUGGAAAAGAAAGUAUAGUGUGAGUUGAAAGAUCAGGCGAGGAAUAAUUGACUGGCGGAGAAGCAUAAACAAGACUAAGUGCUCUAAGGCAAGUUCUUCGAUUUGUGCUAACGUUAAGUGAGUUAGUUCCUUUUUUGUCAACGAGAUCUGCAGCAAUGCGAAAGUAAGUUGUCGAUGUAGUUAUCCGUGUUGUCGACUUGAUAGGUUCUUUAUUGGCUUGAUUGGUUUGAUUACCUUUACUUGGAAAUAAACCUUCUUCUACGUAAGGUGGUUCUGCGCUCUACAUCUGGAUCUGGCGUUCCUGCCUAAAACUAGAAACUCAAGAAAGAAGAUUGUGUUCAAGCUUAUAACUCUCAAGAUGAUGUUGAAAUAAGAUCAGGAGCUGGCUACGAUAUAGAAUCAUAGGCUCAAGCAUAGUCCGGAUCUGAAGCUGAAGAAGGAAAGUGGAGUUCCGGGAUAGAAUAUUUGGCUGCUAUCCCCCCGAUCUGAUAGACUUCAAUCUUUUCCUGGUGGGACCCUACGCUAAUUUCAUUCCUGUUUGAUCGGCUAAUGCGAGGUCGGGCAAGACAAUCCUUGUAGUUCCGGUUGGGCAAGCCUAAAUAAGUAAGGGCAGUGGAAUCAGUAGUAGCAGCAAGCGGGGUAGUAUAUAAGUCAGAAGUUGACAAGUGGGGGUCCUGUUUCAAAAGAGACUGUUCGAGUGAUAGGAAUUGUGAGCCUACCUUUAAGGAUUGCUAGUAGAAGUAUAAGACUCAGAAUGAAACUCCGUAGUAACAGUAUCGGUCGGCAGGGCAAUAACAAGUGCUAACUGGUUUACUGACUUAGUUGACUUACUUGUUUCAUGAAGUGACUAGGCUAGGCUGGAAGUUACUUGUUAUGAAGUCUUUUACUAGGCCAGCAUCUAGACUAGUGGAAUUAGUUGCAUCCCCAUAUUCCCUUGUUGCAUCCUAGUCUCCCAGAGAAGAGUCAUCGGCAGGAUCAGUAUCAAUAUAAGUAGUAGCUUGGCAGUUGCCAGAGCCCGGAUAGCAAGUAGUAGUCCCAGCAUUAAGGUGAAGGUAAGGCUUAAGAGGAGAGGUGAGUCAGUAGGAAAGUGAGAAUGAAAGUUCACUGGUCAGAAAUCAACUAGUAAGUAGAAGGCUUAGGAAGGUAAGAAAGAAACCAGUAAGUAGAAGGAUCAGACUCAGUUUCAAGAUCAUAAGCUAGAUUAGGGGUUCGCGCUUCAGCUGUAAUUUCAAGUCGAGUUAGGGAUGCGAUAACGGGAGCAAGAGACGAGCCUAGAGAUUCAAUCAAUUCUGAAGCGUUAAGUAUUGCCAGGCCCAGACUCAGGAGUAGGAAAGUCUAAGUCGUACGAGAGCAUAAAAGUUGGGUUCUGUCCUUUACCCCUGCACUAGAUGGCCUUCCCGCUCACUCACCAGGGGGCGCAUAUAACGCAUAAGUUUGGUCAAUAUGGAAAUUGGAGAUAUCAAUUCCAUUCUUAUAUACUAGCUUCUUUCUACUGUUCCUUCCGUGUUUCACUUCCUUCUACUGUUCCUUUUAAGGAGCUCAAUCCUAUGAUUCUGAUUACAAAUAGUCUUCCUCAAUACCAUGAUUAAUGCUAAAGUAAGCGCUAAGUCAAUCAUACGCGUUGGUUCCUACGAGUGUUAAGAUAGAUUCUUAUGUCGGCGAUGUAGCUCCUUAUCGGCCACCGGUUCUUUUGUUGUCGACUCGAUAAGGUGCUGUUUCAAGAGCAGAUGCUGUAUUUGAAGCUAAUAAUUAGGGAAUAACAGAAGUUAGUGCAAGUAAAAGGUGCAAAUGCAAAAGUGUGUAUAGAUUUGAGUCAUCUUAUUUCAUUAUAUGGAAUCUCGGUGUUGGCGCAGCUGCCCGCUCAAAGUACUUUCUACAAGUUCAAGAAACAAGCUUUGUAUAAUAUGUAUAGCGUUAGCCGAGUUUGUUGCUUGUUCCCUUGCUUUAAGAGAGCGUAACCCAAUCUCAUUCUGCUGGAAUACGAGAGUUCUCUAUAAGGCCUCCGCCCGUCCUUUCGCCUUUGUUUAUGAGUUUAGCGCAUACUACUAUGGAAUACGAGUACUACCAAUAAGAGUGGAGCUAGUAAGUAGAAGCCUAAGACCUCCUUCCACGUAUACAGAAUUGACCUAAGCAGUUUCAGAGUGAAACCCGACAAAGACAUCUUCAAUCUGGAAGGUGGAAAACAGACGAAAAGAAUGAAGGGAGAAAACCAUCGAACAGGAGUAGUGAGUUGGCAUAUGUAUUAAUUCUGCAGUGAAAGGUAGAAAGGUAGAGAACAAGAGUGGUCAGCAGAGCAGGAGUUUAGAGUUUACAGAGUGAGAUUAGCAAGAGAAGAAGAAAGAUCCGGGUCUUGUAUAGAAACAUCGGUAAUCUUACCAACUUAUGCCCAUCAAACUAAAGAAAGUGUUGUUUUAGUGCUUUUUCGUAUAUACCUGUUUAUAGCUCCCGCCUGGUGGUAUUAUAGAUGAUAGGCUGUUCUGGUUGAAUCCGUUCUCCUACUGGUGGUACUACCCCUGUGACUGUUGGAGUUAGAGGCCAAACAACUACUAGACGCCAAGGCACUGGGCAAGUAACUACUAACGUUACGCGGCAGCAAUAAGAAGUAUGUUAUGACGUAGUUAUAACAAUUCCUUUGUUCGGGUGCCGCGGCAGGAGCUGUUGGGCUAAUGUGUAGCGUCAGCGAGCUAAAAGAGCGGCAGGGCUGUUCCCCCGGUCCCUUAUGAUUAUUAGUAGGAAUGCCGGAGUGGAAGAUUAGGUAGUAAUGCCUGAGUGGAAGAUUCGGUUUCAUACCAGGUAAUUGAAUGAAAGAAUGAAACCAGUAAGUAGAAGCCUUUGAAGCAAGGUUUAGUGGAAGUAGUAAAGUGGGAGUUACAGAAUUGACCUCAGCAGUCCUCGGGCACUUAUUAGAGUGCGGGUCGGGGUUCGUUCCUAUUGCCUAGUUAAGGGGUAUGUAGAAUUCCUAUACAUGGAUUAGAUGCUUGUGUUAAGCAAUGAUACAAUCUAUCUCUUUUGUAGGCUUGUCCCCUACUGAUUUCUAUCUGUUAUUAGUAAGGAUUUUGUUGAGAAAGAGAGAAGCUGCUUUAAUAAGAGAAUAGUUGGAAGUUGCCAGAGCUCGGGUCUAUUAGAGGUCGGGUCGGGGUGCCUCUCUUCAAUGAUUGCAGUGCCUUCUAUUCAAUGGUGAGUGGUGCCUCAAUCUAUCUUUGCGCCUAGAGAAUCUGAUGGGUGAGGUUCAGUGAGAAAGUUAUGAAAGUUAUUAUAUAAUAAAGAAAGAAGGUAGUUAACCAGGUAGUUAACCGGGACAGACAGAAAUCAAUCCAGUUCGGGGCGGGGCAAUCAAUCCAUUGUUGCUACUGCUGCUAGUGGAGAUGAGCCAGAAGUCUUAUAUAAGAGAUGAGCCUUAGUUCAAACAGUAGUAGUUGACAGUUGCAUCAGUAUUAGUUGACUCCGGUAUCGGAUAAGAAUUAUGGUAUUGUUGCCAUAGCAGAGGUGGAAGAGCCAGAGUUAUAGGCUUUGAAGCUAAGCAAUAAGUACUGAAGUCCAGAAUGCAACUAAGUAGUUUGAGAGUUCAACUCGGUAGUCUUAGACUGAAACCAUCGACAACCAGGCUUCAACCGGUAACCAAUCAGAAUUACCUCCAGGAGUGACAGAACCAAACCAGUCAAUCAAAGAAUUAGACCUAUUACCAGAUGUCUUCGUUGCGGUAAGUACUGAGUGGAGCCUAGUUGGGGUGCCUAUUGCCUAUUCCAAAUCAGACUUAGUUGACAGAGCCAGAGAGAGAUAGUUUCAAGUCAGAAUGAACCCAGUAAGUAUAUAAGACUCAGAGACAACCUAAUAAGGUAGAGUUACAGAAUUGAGCCAGUGCUUUCCAAGGCUGAUACCCCCGCUGCUAGUACUGAAGUAAAGAAUAGGCUAUGUUGCCCGAGUUGGAUGAGCCCGAGGUAUUCUAUAGGAGAGGUGAGCCAGUAGUAAAGUGAGAAUGCCACUGGGUAGUUACAGAAUGCAACAGUAGAGGUGGGGAUACGGAAUUCCAGAAUGAAACCGGAUCCGAGUAUUUAUAAGUUGCAAAUAGGUUGGAUUCUUGUGUUAGUGCUUACGCUAUAAGUCGUAGAGAGAUAAGUGCUUCUUCAGCUUGUUCUGCUCGAGUUGAAUCCUUUAUCCCAUAAUAAGAGAGGGGUAGUUCCUUGCCUAGUGACUUGGUGAUUUCGUUUUAUGGUAAAUUCCCUAUGUUGCCUCAGGAAAUGACCUUAGAGUGCUUUUGAGUCAUGAAAGAGAGCCGUCUCCUUCUUGCUAACCCACCUACAAUUUCAGAAGAGUUAGGUUCUUGCUACUACAAUUAACAGAGUUCGGGAAGUAUAGAAUUGUAGCCAGUAGAAGAGGCCUCUCUAAUAAGUUUCGAGAAGCUGUUUCAUCUUUUCUCCUUUCUUUUUAAAGAGAUAUCCAAUUUAUAUGUCAUUUAUAUAGGACAAGUAACGACUAAUGACCGCUAAGUCACUACUACAAACUCAAAGAAAGCAGAGCAGGUAGAGAGCCAGUUAUUAUUUAUAAAGAGUAGUAAAAACCUAGUAAGUUGAUGUGCUCGUAAGUUGAUGCAAUCGGUAACUAUUUCUUUUCGAGUCGUUGCUUGGCCCCGGUGAUUAGUUCAAUUCAUUAGUGCACUAGCUCAUUCUUAGCCCUUGAGCACUCAGUCUGACUUGGGCCUCCGCUCACUUGGGUUAUUCCUAUUCCUUUGAUUCUGAGUUUAUAGUCAUAGUCUCCCACUCCCAUAUUACUAGUUUCAUUCUUGUUAGUGAGAGUUCGCACCUUGUUGGUUGAUUUCUUUACGAUAAGAUUCCGUAUCAGAAUCAGCAUUUUCAGUCUUAUUGGUAUGAGUCGAUUUCCUACCUUUGAGUUGUAUUCCUUUUAGUGGUGGCUUAGGUAAAGUUUCAAGGUAGGCUGCUUCGGGGGCUGCAGUGAAGGGCUGAUGGCUAUUAAUUGAAUUCUAAUAUGGGAGGGUUUUUCUUGUUCAUGGAGUAGAAUACUCAAACUAACAAGCAAGCCUAAGAGGCACAGGCGUUGAGGAGCAAGAGAUAAGGGCUAGAGUCCGGUGCUAUAGUUGAGAGUUGGAUUCCUUAAAGUAGUAGACAGGCUCGGUAGACUAAGAAAAAGGGAGGGCAGCCUUAGGUCCGGUAGUGACAGUCCUAUAUUUACUAGUUUCUUUAUUGAGGAAAGAAGUCAGUCUUAUAGUAGUAAUAAGUAAUAAGAGUAAUGAAAUAGUAGCAAUAAGAGUAAUAGUAAUAAGAGUCAGUAACGUAGGAGUGUAUUAUAAACUCUAUAAUAGGAAUAAGAAUAAGUAGAUGUUACUGCCCUGUUGCAUUCUGAUCUUAGUACUUACUAGUCUUUUACUUACUUGUUUCAUAAACGGCACUGCUUUAUGGUUUCCCACUUGUUAGUUCCAUUCUGAAAUUCCGUAUUCCUAGUUGAUAGCUCCAUUCUUGUCAGUAGUAACUCCAUUCUUGUCAGUAGUCAUUGGAUUCUUACUUGCUAGUGAAAGGACUGCACUUUUCCCCCACCAUAUCAGACUGUAGCUGUUGAUCCAGAUCCUAUGUUAUGUGGGUUGUUGCUACUAGUAUGUCCCUACUCACCUGAAACUGUAUUUCCUCUAUAUCAAUCUAUGCGCUCUACUCGCUAGUCUUACUGUACUUUCUCUGAUUCUUAUUGCCCCUGACAAAAUUCUAUCUGUUAUUCUGACAUUGCUUGUCAUUAUUCUGUUGACUUGUAUUAAUGAUAAUUAUUCUGUUGACUUGUAUUAAUGUAAUGCAACCAUUAAUUAGCAUAUAUUAACAUUAGAGUCAUUCCACCGGUUUUCUUAUUGAAACUAUGUCGGAACUGUCUAUUGGUCCUAUAACCUGGCUUACUUAACUACACUGAUAAUAGGGCAUUGAACCAAUAAGUCAAAGAGUCAGAAUACAGCUCAUAAGUAAUAGAACCAAGCUAAGUAGUAAGUCAAAGCUACCGGUCUGAAACUCUCACUCGACCUGGAACAGGCAAUUAUCUUUGAACUCAAAACUAGGAAUAAGGAAUGGAAGAAUGAAACCACAACUAAGGCGAAUGACACUCAAGCGGAGGCUCUUAGCACCUUACUUACUGCUUUGACUGAUUUCUUUGUUUACUUAUUUCUGUAGGUCAUAGGUGACUUUCGGUAUAUAUUAUGCUGUUACUUAUUUCUUUGACCGGCAGAUUGGAAUCGGUCAUAACCUCACUUUUGAACUGGAACUGGGGCAGCAGACUGCAAUCAUCUUUCUGAACUCUUUCACUCCCGGCUCAUCUAACUCAAGCCCAGAAAUACUCCAUUCCAGCUCUUUUCACUCUUUCUCCUCGGAUCUAGCCUCUGAUCUUGAAACUGAUCUCUCCUCUUCUCUUGCUAUUUGAACUCAGUUAGUUUAGUGCUUCUGCCUCACCUCUUUUUCAUCCACCUCUGUCAACAAUCUAUUUCACCCUGCUAGCUACUAUUAACUGCAUUCUUCUCCUCCUGGUCUCUGUUUCUGUCCGGAAGGUAUCCAGCAAAAGAAUCCAACCUACUACUUAAAGAAUCAACCCUAAAGUAAGACCUAUCCCUUAACUACCCCAACAAGUAGUAUUGACCCAACAAGUCGUAUUGAAUAGAGGCGCCCCACACCCCAACAAGUAAGUUCACUACCCUAGCCGACAAGCUACUCGGGAUCAUACUAGGUAUUCCACUCUCACAGGAGCAGGACUCCGAUUGAAGAGCCAUAACCUGAACCUCUAUCCUCUAAACUAAGUCUUGUCAACCUCACCCCCGCCCUCGUAUUGAAGGGAAGAAACCUCUCUAACGCAACCGCUCCAAAGGAGAAUCAUGGAAUUGACGCAAGGCACUACCCUUUCUUGCAGGCCCUAUACAAAUAACUUGGAAAGAGGCAAAGAGGCGACCCACCUGUUAGAUAAGAGUUGAUACUUGUUCCCGGUUUAAAUGGAAGGAAUUGCGCUGGUGCUCAAAGGAAAGAUGGAAUUCUUUGUUUGAUUGCUCUUUGCCUUAAAGUGAAGGAACUAAUUAUCUCCUUGUUUAAGUAAGUUGUGAAUGAGUCUGGUCGUUUAAGGCAUGUUAAACAAUGAUUAUAGCUCAUCACUCAUGGGAUCCUCGUAACCAGUCCCAAAAUGCAUUUGUAGCCCGGACUUGCUCUAGGCUAAAACUUUACUUGAAGUGAAGCUGACCUGACCAACUUAUAAGAAUCGAUCCGACCUGACUUGCAAACUCACUCCUGUCCCGACUGCUUACUUGACUCACUCCUUGACUUUCAUAUAAGAUAGAACUCCCAAGGUAAAGAACUGGCCGAGUCGAUUCGGCUUAUGGAACUCCUUCGCUAACUCCUGGCCUUCGACUUCGGUGAACUUCGUUAGCGUCUAAACUCCGUAAGCUAUACAUUAGACUAAGCUUGUUGGGCAAACCGUACUACUUGACGCCUAUCUGGUACAUUCCUAUAAAUCCAUAUGUAUUUCACUCUACCACUUGACUUUCUACCCUUGCUUUCUUUUGUUCAAACUCCUUUAGCACCCCCGCUCGCUAACGGGCUUGUUGGCUUCUACUUUUCUAACUCUUCUCUUAUUUAGUUCAGCGCGGUGUACUUUUUUCAUUGUUCUCUUUCCUAUAAUGUCAUUUAUUAACCCAGGCUCUGGCUCUAACUGCUGAAGCUUCGCUUCCUCUCUGGACUUUGAAUCUACUGAACAAGCAACGUCAAAUAGAAAGUGACAUAUGAGUGGUGUUCAUGGCGUUAGCGAAAGAGCUCGAAAGAUCUGUUGUCAUCGGUGUUAGUUGAGUGAGUUCCUGUCUUCAUCUAAUGCGAGUUGGGUUGAUAGGUCAAUUACAGGGGUUUCAAUUCAUUGAGUUGAUAGGUCAAUUACAGGGGUUUCAAUUCAUAGGAAUAGAGAAAUCCAAGUUUCUGGGUUUACUGUUUGAGUUGCGCUAGUCUGGAUUUUUCUUAUUGGAGUUGUUGCGGGCGGAGCGGGGAUAGUGAGUUCAUAUUCCAUGAUUUUCUGCGCUUACGGGAGUUUAGUUGACAAUAUAAAUGGGGUUUCAAUUCCGUUUGAGUUGGACUCGAUGCAAGACUCAGUGUUGUGCUAAGGCGAGUUGACCGAACAUGUUGGCUCUAGGGGCUCUUCAAUUCCUCUUCUUAUAUGACAUGUGUGCAAGAGAGAUUUCUUAAGUUCAAUGGAUCCGCACGUAAGGAGUUUGCCGGAAGGGAUGCUGUGUUGAGUAUAGAAUAGAAUGGUUUUGUAACAGGAGAGGACACGAAGUAAGUAAGAGGCCCGAUCAACUCACUAGCGCUCUUAGAAAGCAGAAAAAGUGUUGUAUUCUCGGGAACUAAACCACACCUAGUGCCUAGUAGGGGAGAAGAUACCUUUGGUAGUUCUAAUGCUGCUUUGGAGAACUGAUAGACGAACUUGUAUUCAUGGUAAGGACACGGACAAAACCAACUCCCCGCUUGCAGUUAAUAACGCUUUGUAUUAUAGUAAGAUAGAAAAGAAACGAACAAAAACUCAGGGAAACUUAGAAAUAUAUAUUGCCCGGCGCGCUGAAAGGGGGAUGACACCGAAGAAAACCAACUGAGAUGAGAAGAAAAGAAGGGCAACUAUUUGAGGGGAAAAACCCGAUAGGAAGCUGGUAACUGAGUACUGAGGAAGCUAGUAACUGAGAGAAAGAGUGUAUUACCAAUCUUACGCAUUUAGUACUAAGAUACAGAAUUGUGGUGAGGCCGAACAACUACUAGAGCAAUAAAGAGAAGAAUCUAGAGCAAUAAAGAUAAUAAUUCAUUUCUGGUUUCUUUAAUAAGAUAAUAAUGAAUUUAGUAUGCUUUCUUAUACUGUGUCUGUACUGAGUAUGUAUAUGAGAAAGAUGAGUGGUUUUUCGGGUUUAUUGCAUUUAUUGGAUUCCAAAACUACCCCCAUGUAUUGUAAUUCCACUCAUAAACUAAGAAUAGGGGUAAUCGGGGCCUUCUUUCGCAUCCUGAGAUGGCUUUAUGGCAAAUAUUACAUUUGCUACCCCCUUAGGGGCCAAAAGAGUCCUUUCUCACUAUAGGAUUUUUGGUCUAAUAAAGGGUUUAUACCGGCUUUGUUGCUAGGGUAGUCAAAAGAGAGUACCAUCUUGUGACAGGACCCAUACGCGGCACCCACAUCUAUGAAAUUAAUUACACCCCGACCCGAACUAAACUAUGGCUCUGUACUCUUCUCGACUACUGACUUUAUAACUACUGUUCCACUCUAACAAUAACUGGGGCAGUGAAAUUAGUGACAGCGAAAUCUCAUUCCAAAUGGCUUAUCUCACCCAAGAGCAGAAGCGGCAGUUACAAGAUCAGAAGCGGCGCAUCUCUAAUCUAACACCCAGCUACGGCAGCAACAAAUACAGAAUUCCACAAGCCCCAACCCCACAAAGUAAGUCAACUAAGGAAGUAAACCAACCGACCCUGUGAAAACAUUCCAACAAGAAUUCUCUCUUAUAUAAGAUUACAGAUGAAACUCGGCAAGUAAGUAAACAAAGUCAGUAAACAAGCCAAACCUAGCAACUUGACCAAACCUAGCAACUUGACUAGAGCGUAAGCACCAACCCUACCCGAGUCACAGGUAAAUUCUCCACUUCCCCGCAUCAAACCGGGAUUUUGGAUAGCGAAGUCUACUUAGCCAGUACUUAUUGCUUAGCUUCCUCGCCUUUACGUUACUCUGCCCCGACCCGACCGACCCUACUUCUGGAUAAGAAUUAAGGUAGAACAAUAAAAUAAGGUAAUGACCAGGAGCCCUGGACCGGUUAGACCUAUUAGUACCCUACUCUGGCAACUGACACUCGGUCUUCAACAAGGAAACAAGGGUCGAUGUCAUUUAGCUAUCACAAGAACAGGAGACCAGUAGAGGAGGAGCCCCAAAUACGGGAUUCUUUCUUGCCCAACCCAGUAGUGCUUCUUCACAUACUACCCGCGUAUCAAAGCGAGCACUCGAGAAAGCCUGUAAGAUAGUCUUUCCCAGAACUGCUAGGGAGUACUUUCUUCUUCAACUUACAAUAAGGGCCUCUACAUUCCCUAUGGAUACCCUAUCUCUAAUUCAUUCCUUAUACCCUAUCUCUAAUUCAUUCCUUAUAUAUAUAUGCCCGAUCUUGAAAAGCACUCUCAAUCAGGUUUACGGUGUUUAUUUAACAGUUCUUGUUCUUGUAAGUAAAUGAGUAUUUCUAACAUGAGGAAUGUAGUAGCACCGGGUAGCAUACUUUUUCCCGGUAUUCGUAGUACUGGUAGCAGGGCAGGGCGAAAUAAAGGUUGCCAUCAAUGGUUUCUGUUCUUAUUAGAAGAUUCUAUUUCCACGUUCUGUAUUCGAGCUAAAGUGAGCUUACAAGUCGGUUAAGGCAGUAGACCCAACUAGUCACUGAUAGAGCAAAGAAUGUCUACGACACGAACAAAACACUUUCGGAACUGUUCACUCCUUACUUGACUCAAAGAAUGGAAUAUCUAUAUGAUAUCUGACUAUGAGGCUAUUAACUAAAAUGAACUCUUGCGAUAACUACACCUCUGGCAACCUAACUUCCCGCUUCUUUUAGCACUUACUUUGGCACAGCUUUUCCUUAUGAGAUGCAACUUGAACGGAGUCUGCUCCUUCUUUGGCUCCUGUUACUUACUUCGUGUCCUCUCCUCUGACUUUGAAAUCUAUACAAAUCUAUGAACUGGAGUACUUUGAGCUUCAAAACCGGUACCAGAGAUCUUGUUUCUGCUGAUGCUAACGCUGAAAAAGGAGACAUUCUAAAGCUUACUCUACUGGGCGAGAACCUUUGUUAGUUAGAAGGAAGGUAGAUUAGAGAAGAAUGAUCUGUUCAACUAGAUGUUGCUUAUUCUCCUUCCACUCCAAUCCAAUAAGUGUUAGCGGUGCGAGUACCAUUGAUAGUGCUUGCUGUCGGUUCUUCAAGUUUCAUUUUCGCAAUUAGAUCUUCUGCUUGUUCAGGUUUUAAGCGAGAGUUUUGUGUCAGAGUGAGUAGGCAAUCUGAUGGACUAAAAGAUUAAGCUACAGGGAGUGUAAAGAGCUAGUCUAUUUCAUUAGGCAAAAAAGCAUUAUUAGAGCAUUUGUUGGUUUUAAUGGUGGAUUUUCCAUUAGCAUAGUUUACCAAGGCUUCACUUCAACUUAGCAAAAGAAUGAUUUCCAGCUAGAUAAAGAAAGUAUAAGCAACAUAAGGAUAAGGAUCUUCUGUUGUUCGAGUUUUCUCCUAAGCAAUGAAAGUUGACUUCGGGUCGGGGUCCGCUUAUUCUCUUGAAACUCAAAAGUGACUUUAUACAGUUGAAGAUCGAGUCACUCUGUUGUUGAUACACUUCUAUAUCUUCUGAUCUCGUUGACUUUCCUCUAUAUGCAUCCUUAAUAGAUUACACUCAUUCACUUAGUGCUGAAGAAGGCUAUAAGAAAGGUCAAAAAGGGCAAGAAACGGAAAUGCUAGUGUUGUCCCGUAGAUAGAAGAGAAGCCAGGUGUUGUCCCGUAGAUAGAAGAGAAGCCCGCGCACGCCCCUUCGUGUCAAGAUCAGAACUCGCUUUCCUAAUGUCCCAAAAGAAGAGAAAAGUAGAGUAUAAACAGAAUAGCCUCCUUUUAAGCGCUAACGAAGCUAGAACCAGCAAGUGCCUUCUGUCCUAAAUAAAUACUUGUUCUGGGAAGUUUGGAAUGGAAUUGAACCUAUGCAGCACCUGGAUUUCCACUAGAAUCAUAAGGGAGCGUAGAACAAAGCUUUGGCUCUUUCUUUCAACUAAUCAUCAUAAGGGAACCGGGGUAAGCGCGGGAAGGAACGGGAAGUAGACUCCAAAAUCAGCAGUGCCAGUGAAGUCGAUGAGAUCAGUAGCUUGAUCGGAAUAAGGUAAAGAAUAAGGAUCAUCAUAAGGAGCAAUAAAGUCUAUCGGAACAGACGCAAGAGCCCUUUUUGUAAGUUGAAGCUAUAAGCGGUUCUGAACGGAUAGUCUAGUUUGGGGUAUAGUAGUAGCUUGGAAGUUUACAGAGUUAGAGGAUAAGACGGAGCCUAGUCUGUAGCAAGUGGGUUAGAUAAGAGUCCAGGGCUAGUUCCUGUGAUAAAGUAUGGUGAGAAGAGUUCGGUUCGGGUGCUAGUGUUAUAUCAACCGGGCUUUCCCCUUGUAUACGAGUUAGGCUCGGAUGCUUGUGUUAAGCAUAGAAGAAAAGAUAUAAUUGUGUGGCUCUGAUCCCUACUUGGCCCCUACUUCAUUCAUGAUUAUCUUAUUAAGGAUUGAGUUUAGAAAGAUAGAAGCUCCACAGGGUCGGGGUUAAUAAAGAAGUGUUGUUGAUUCUUUACCGCAAUUAAGGUUAAGGCACUGGACUCAAAUCUACCUCAUUGGCAGCCUUCACCCGGAGUUUGCCUCUGACUAAGCCUUAGCUUCACCUUAAAAGAAUGCUUGGACUAGACCAGACCACAGAUCUUUUGUAAAUGAAAUCUUAUAAUCAGAACAGAAACUAUUGAUGGCCGAACACAGGACAGAGUCAAGGGAGGCUUCAUACAAACACCGCUAUACUUGCUACUUGGGCAUGAGAACUUCGAUUCCACUCUAAAAGAAAGAUACUUGACUGACUUUUGAAUCUCUAACACCAUGCUACCUGGCACCUGACCUAUACAUUACUUCUAAGCCUUAACCUGACUUUCUCACAGGCACUGGGGCAGCAGACUUUCCUCGCUCACACCUCGCAUCAAAGGCAUUCCAUCUAAACCUUCAUAGCUGUAAGUUUGAUCCUAUAUGAAGAAUUGGAAUUCAGGGGCAGAUAUCUAAGUGGUUUUCUACCUUCCUACGUAGCUUGUCACCCUCCGCUUGUCGUUUCUUUGUCGGUUUUUCUUUUGAGUUUAGCUGUUGGUAAAAGAGUUAAGUCGGGUCUUCUACUCCCUUAUUCUUACCCGGCUCCAAAAAGAGAAGUAAAAGCUCUAGUCUAGCUCUAGGUCUCGAGGCCUCCAUAAGAAGUCUAGGGUGCAAGUCCAGUAGUAUACGCUUGUUGGAUCAAGACUAACUUCCCCGGCUUCAGAUCUUGUUCCUUUAGUUUGAUACCCUCCCUUCCGUAGGAGUCCGCUUGCCCACUUGCUAUAUGGUUUCAGAAUUCAGUUAGAUGAGCAAGAUAAGAGUAGAGGUGUAGUUGCCUUGCCUUAGUGGGGAGAGUCGCUCUAGUUGAAUGAGUUGUCGAUUCAGAAAGGGAAGCUAGUAGUUUCUUUAUAAAGAGUUUCGUUGACUUACCCUAUUGCAGAGAAUGGGGGAACUCAUAUGAGUGGAAUUCUUUGACUAAUGAGUUUGAUUCUUUACUGAAGUACUUAUAGCUUAGCUUCCUGGCAGAAGCCUGAGUUCAAAUAGUCUCUUGAGCACCAGAGUUGGGUUAGUUGAAAGAAGUUAAUAGGCUAGGAAGGAAGUUAGUAGUUAAGUUAUGAAGGAAGUUAGUGGUUAUGAGGGAAGUUACUAGGCCUGCAUCUUAGGCAAAGGCAAAGAAAGCAGAUAGGGAGAAGAGAGGAGCAAUAAAAGUCUUAGCUGACAGAGCAAGAGGCGAGGUAGGUAAGGGAGUCCAGAGUCGAGGUUUAGUUGACAGCUGCUGUUCUUGUUCGAGGUGAGGCGUGUUGGUGCUGCCGAAUUACUAUAAGGUCCUGUUCUGGUUGAAUCCCCAGUGGAAUCCUUAUUAGUUGCCCGAGUUGGAUGAGCCAUAGGUAAGGUAGUAUAGUAGCAAUAGGGGUCUCAUAAGAAAGAAAGAAGAGUUUCAGACCGGAUAUCAGUUGGAAGUAGUGGUCCUGUCGAAUCUGUAUUAGUUGACUCCCCGGUAGAUGAGCCGGAGUGAGAUUCGAUGAGAGCAAUAACAGUAUUAGUUGACAUAGGUAUUGUAGCCAUAGUGAUAGUUGACAGAGAUAGAGUUGACUUGUCUACUUUCCCUUAUAUACAAGCGGAUUUACCCUUCCUUUCUUUGCCAGUGACUUGGCUGGGAUGAAACUAAUUCCCCUAUAGUAGUUUAAGAAUAAAGUAAAGGCUUUGAUACGAGGGUAGUUUACUGACUUAGUUGACAGAGCCAGAAGUAUAGUAUAAGAAUGAAGUUAGAUGAGCGCUAGGUAGGGUGCCAUGCCAGUACAGUUAUAGUCGUUGGUGAAUGAAUGAAAUAGUCGUUGGUGAAUGAAUGAAAAUAAGGGGUGGAGUCUCUUAGUAUUGGUAGGAGAGUCUUAGUUGCUGUUCUCUUAUUCUGAGUAUUAGACCUACUUCCUUGUAUUAGUGCUGAUAUCCCAGGAAACUGUAUUUGUAUUAUAAGUAUUAGACCUAAUUCUUUGUAUUAGUCCUCCCUGUGUUUCUCUUUUGAUUGAACUUCAUUCCACAGCCAGGCAGAGGGGCGGGGUAAUGUUUAACUCAAAGCUUACUCAUACUUAUUACUUCACUGGCAUAACUCCCAAUACACAACAAAACGAGUUUCUUUCUUUUUAUUACUUAACUCUACUCUACUACUCCGCACCGGCAUAUUCCACUCUUUCACUUAGGGCAGCUGACCAACUUAUCAUAUUUCUAUAGCCUGUUCCUUUGCCGACCACAACUCUACUAGGUUAGCCAAUAACUUCUCUUGCAGACGCUGCAGAACUAUCAUUGGAAGACCCGCUUGCUGUUGAUAACUUGGAUUAGGCUCCUUAUAAAGAUACUGAUUCAGUUGUCGAUGUCUACUUUCAAUCUUCUGCUUAAGGGUGUGGGUUGAGGUUAGUAUUAAUUAUUCCAGAGAUGAGAUUAGGCUUCAGUUUACUUUACUUCAUACACUUCGACAAAAGUGCUUGUGUUGUCGGUGAAGAAAGGAUGGUUCCGGUCUUGGCUUGGCUUAGAAGAAGAAUGAUUGUUCCCACCCGCUUCCCUAUUAUAGAUGUUGGUAACCAACCGGCGUGCUCUCUCUUUGCCUACCUAGUGCUCGAAACUCAAAUGGUUGAAUGAAACUAAGCUUUAAUAGAGACCUUAUAGUAAGUCCCUUAUAGUAAGUUAGCUUGUGUUAAGCAAGUAGUAAAUAGAGAAUAUAGGACCUCCUGAGGAAAUAGAUAAUAUGGGACCAGUACAAGCAGAUGCCCUUAAGUCAUUGGGGCAGGAGAGGAAGCUUAUUACUUCAGAAAUAGGAUUAGGAACAGGGCAAAGUCACUACUGGACAAGUAGACCAGCUCAAUAGAUCUCAUUUCUAUCUGAUAUAGGAAAACGGAAGCGGCAGCCGCUCUAGAUUAGGACUCCGGGCCAAUCAACUACUUAGCUCAGGGCUUUCAACCUACCACUCCACUACAGCAGCUGGCUUUCAUCUUAGCUCUGCUCUUUACUUCCCCGAACCCCUUUCCCUGUCCUAAUUGGGGUGUGAACCUGCAUUUGAUUCCCGAGUUGCCGAGUUGGGGCAAGC